UACGUAGGCAGCGAGCGUUGUUCGGAAUUACUGGGCGUAAAGAGUGUGUAGGCGGUGCUCCCAGUCUGUUGUGAAAUCUCCCGGCCUUAACUGGGAGGGUGCAGCGGAAACUAGAGUGCUAGAGGGUGGGAGAGGUAAGCGGAAUUCCGUGGUGUAGCGGUGAAAUGCGUAGAUAUCAGGAGGAACACCUGUGGUGUAGACAGCUUACUGGACCACUUCUGACGCUGAGACACGAAAGCGUGGGUAGCAAACAGG
rnacentral:rRNA from 1 species